GUGCACGCUGGCGGUAGGCCUCACCCCUGCAAGUCGAACGGCAGCACCGUAAGAGCUUGCUCUUACGGGUGGCGAGUGGCGGACGGGUGAGGAAUACAUCGGAAUCUACUUUUUCGUGGGGGAUAACGUAGGGAAACUUACGUUAAUACCGCAUACGACCUACGGGUGAAAGCAGGGGAUCUUCGGACCUUGCGCGAUUGAAUGAGCCGAUGUCGGAUUAGCUAGUUGGCGGGGUAAAGGCCCACCAAGGCGACGAUCCGUAGCUGGUCUGAGAGGAUGAUCAGCCACACUGGAACUGAGACACGGUCCAGACUCCUACGGGAGGCAGCAGUGGGGAAUAUUGGACAAUGGGCGCAAGCCUGUUCCAGCCAUACCGCGUGGGUGAAGAAGGCCUUCGGGUUGUAAAGCCCUUUUGUUGGGAAAGAAAAGCAGCAGGUUAAUACCCCGCUGUUCUGACGGUACCCAAAGAAUAAGCACCGGCUAACUUCGUG
rnacentral:rRNA from 1 species